AACGCACGAGACCUGCGGACCUGCGGAAGGAUCAUUGAUGAGAAACUGCCCCUCGCGGGUAGAUCUCCCACCCUUUGUAAACUUACCUUUGUUGCUUUGGCAGGCCCGUCUCCGGACCGCCGGCUUCGGCUGGCCAGUGCCUGCCAGAGGAUUCUAAAACUCUGUCUGUCAGUGUUGUCUGAGUCUAUAUACAAUCGUUAAAACUUUCAACAACGGAUCUCUAGAUCGGAAGAGCACACG
rnacentral:misc_RNA from 1 species